rnacentral:rRNA from 1 species
GUAAGGCUUGCGAGAGCUUGAGCUUACUGGUACUAAUCAGCCGUGAGGCUUGACCAU